rnacentral:rRNA from 1 species
UGCCAGCCGCCGCGGUAAUACGAAGGGUGCUAGCGUUGUUCGGAAUUAUUGGGCGUAAAGCGCGUGGUAGGCGGUUCGUUAAGUCUGAUGUGAAAGCCCGGGGCUCAACCCCGGAAGUGCAUUGGAAACUGGCGAACUUGAGUACGGGAGAGGAAAGUGGAAUUCCGAGUGUAGGGGUGAAAUCCGUAGAUCUCUGGAGGAACACCAAACGCGAAGGCAUUCUGCUGGUCAUUACCUGACGCUGAGGGACGAAAGCGUGGGGAGCGAACGGGAUUAGAUA